CUCUUAUCCAGAGAGGUGGAGGGACUGGCCCAGUGAAGCCUCGGCAACCAUCAAAGAAACUCUUUGACACGGUGCCAAUUCCAGCAGCGCUCGCGCGCUGAAAGAUGAGAG
rnacentral:ncRNA from 2 species